ACUGGAUUUGCAGCAGAAACACCCUGCUAAAGAACAAGUAUCUUGGUUCACAGCAAAGAGGACAAAGAAAAACAGCAAGUUAGAGGGGGUUGAAUCCUGGAUUAACCAGGAUGUAACUUGUAUAUAGAGUUUUGAGAUGUGAGGAGGUCUCUGCCAAAAGAGUGAAUAUUAGAAUGGCUUAAGAAGAAAGCGAGGUGCUACUGAAGUCAGCGUUACCAUGGAUUCCCUCAGAUUUACUUUCCCAGCCUUAGGAAAGAUGAGGAAACUGAGGCUUUGAAGUCCAGGUGAUUUGCUCGGUUAAUAAGUGAAGGAGCUAGGAGUGGAACACAGAUGGAGACCCAAGGUGCUGAGCUUGCUCUCUCCAAGGACAGCCAGCCAGCUAGUUGGAGGAAAAAGUGCACUGUGGUCCGAAGAGCACACAGUUCUGAGAUUGGAUAAUUGGCCUAAAUUCCAGAGCCAUCCAUUGCCAGACUUCUGAUACAUAAAGAAGAAUAAUGAGACCAAGAUCAUCUACCUGUCUCUGAGGAUAACCAAGGAAAGAGAUCCAACUUCAGCCACAAAACUCUUAAUUCUGGCACCUUUGCAUACCUUCAAGUUUUCAUGCCCAAAUGUAAGACCAAAUUGCUUGGUUGCUAUGUUCUAACGCCAUGUUCCUUCAGCUGGUGCUGGGAUCAGUUCCCCAUGGGUCAUCUGGAUCUUAGCAAUACCUAAAAUAUUAACUUCUCAAGUUCCCUUUUAGUAUAGUUGGAUAAAGCACUUAAAGUCAAUAUAACUCAUUGUUGGAAAACACUGUUAGAAUUUUUUCCUAUAAGUUACAUCAGAUAAAGAACAUAUACAUUUUUAAAAGUAUUUUUCAGCCUACCCAUCUUAUUGGUAGGAUCUACUUGUUUCAUGAUGAUAGCACUACAGGUGUCUCAAAAGUCUCCCUACAAAGGAAAAAAUUUUUUGUAAAGUUUUGUAAUGAAUAUUUUGUAAAUAAAGGUACAUUUAGCUAUAGUUCCCAUUUUCCCUAUAUAUGGCAACUUUUGAGACACUCUGUAUUUCCUUCUUUGUGUGGAUGCUUAACCAAUAUUUUAAAUAUUGAUUUUCUUUUUCUGCCUUGGCUUUUUCCUUCCCACUUAAACAGAAUUAAACAUUUGCUUUUUAACUUUUUUUUAGAGACCCACAAAGAAAGAGAUACUGAGGUAAAUUUUCAGGAUAAAUUACACUUAGGAAAAUGCUUAUGAAUUAAAUUAGGUAUAGCCAAUAUUUAUUACUUAUUGUUUAUUCUGUAUAUAACAUUGUGUUAUGUGCUGGGAAUUUAAAGAUGAUUCAUCUAAUAUGCUAAGGAUAAUAACAGAAGUCUAAAUACAUUUUUCUGGAUACAGGCAUUCUGAGCCAACAUUCAUAAACAAUUGAUGAAAUAAAUUCAAACAUUUAUUAUUUUUUCCUUAGAAUGUUUCCCAAAGCUUUUAUCUGUAAGGCUCCAUUUUUUUUUAAUCCUGCUAUAUCAGUUUUGUAGAGUCGUGCAGUAGAGCGAAUCUCUAUAUUAUGGACGUUCAUGCUGACAAGAAAAUGGUGAGUCAUUUCUGCGGCAUAGAGAUGAAUAUAUGUGAUUGCAAUAUGCACUUGAAAGACAAAACUUUAUAAACAUGGCUAUUUGGAAUUUAACUUAGAGGUGAUGUACUUAAAUGCUUAGGUUUGGAAGUUUAAGAGUCCUGGAUUUCAAUUUUGGUUCUGCCAUUCACUAGUUAUGUGACUUUGGGCAGGUUACAGAAAACCCUUUAAGGAUAGGAAUUUUAAUGUUUCAAGUAGGGAUAAAAUACCCCUAUAACUGCAUGGUGGUGGUAAUUAAAUAAUAUAACAUACAUAAAAAAGCAUGAUUCCUAUAUAUAAUUAGCCAAUAAAUUGAUAGUUAUUAUUAUUAUUACUUAAUGACUCCCCCAGUUACUUGUACCAUAUAGUUCUUCCUUCUAAAAAUUUCUGGGAUCACAAGAAUCAUCAUUGCUCAAUUAAUUGGCUUAUAAAAUUAUAAACUCAAUGUGUAUAGGUUUAUAAUUAUAGAAUCAUGACUUUUUAAAUGGUAAGAUUGACUCCUACCCAUUUUCUAUAUUAAAAUACUGAGGUUUAGAUGGCAGCAGUCACUUGCCCAAAUCACUCAGCUAUUUAGAGCCCCCACUCCUGCUAAUCCUGUGCAGGGCCUUGCACUUCAGAGUAUGUGUCCACUGCACCCCACUCUCCCUGCAGUUUCCAUCUGCAUUAUAAAUAUCCCUCCUCUCAUGAACAUUUCUGAUUCAUGCUCUUUGACAGUGAAGCUGAGCUGUUCUAUCAUUGAUGAGGUGCAAAUGAGAUGCUGUUAUUAAUACAAACAGAGGCACCCUCUGGGUAUUAUGCAUUUAUCAGAGCAAACAUCAAAAUAUGAAACUACAAAAACAACUAAUGAAAACAAAAUGAAUAUUGUUAGCUAAAUUAAUGCUGUCAUCUUCCCCAAGUGUGUCUUCAAAAUGAAAUGGUCCGAUGGCAAAAAUAGAACAAGCUGGGAACACUUAGUUUCACAGUGUAGAGGGUUUGAAACACAGACUUAAUUUCCAAUGUGUUAGAUCGCUCAGGUGUUAGUGAUGAAUGAAUAUUAGCCUGUGAGGGACCCUACCCUCCCACAUCCAGUAUCCCCCUUCCCGGGAAUUCUAAUAGAAUUCUAACAUAAAGCAACAACAGCUGCAUCAACAAAAUGAAUCUAUAAUUUAGAGUCUGACCCAAAGAUCCCUUCUCUGCUUCCUGCUCUCCUGCCUGUUCUAGGAGUUUUAAAGCCAUUUCCAUUGUCCUCUUCCACUGCCAAAAUAUUUGUUUUAGUGGCCUCUACAACUGUGCUUCAGAUGGAGCAGGCACACCAAAUCAAUAAAGCAUAUUGCUAUGCAUGUUUUAUUUGUUUGAGUAAUGCUCUUGAGAGUAGUGAAAUUAGUAUGUGUAUUUAUUAAACUCAUUUUUGCUACUUUUCUAGUCACUGUCAUUCUUCUAGUGGUCUAUCACUUUGUGGUUAAUGUCAACUAUAUGUUGACAGCAUAUGGUGGGUAUUUAAAGCCACAGGAUCGAAAGAGAUUACCAAAGAACUAAGAAUUAGGGCAUUCUAGUAUUUAGAAGUUCGAGGUUACAGUGAGCUAUGAGGGCACCACUAUUCUCCAGCCUGGAUGACAGAGCAAGACCCUGGCUUAGAAAACAAAACAAAACAAAAACAGAUCACAGGCAAAUAAAUACCAGGCCAUAUUUCCAAGACAGCCAUUUCAGGGUGGGGAACCUGUGACCUCAAGGCUACAUGUGGGCCCCCUAGAUCCCCAAAUCCUUUAUUAAAAGGAUUUGUUCUAUAAAAUUUAUAUUCAGUCAAAAGGCCACACUCAAGGAUCCAGAAGGUCAUAUAUGGCCCCAAGACUGCGGGUUCCCCACCCCUUAAAGUCCCUUCCAUCAGUAAAUCCUCAGGUUUCUGUUUGGUUCAAUCUCAGUUUAACAUGAAGUUCAGCAGGCCUAGCAGGCGUUUGCACCUGUCUAUACCAUUACAUGCCUUGUCUUUAGCCUUCCGUCUUCUAGGCUAGCUGUCCCUGUUCAUACUUCUCUUUGUGUCGUUCACAUACAGUAAGUCUGCUUUUCCAGUGAAACCUUCUGGCUAUAUCUGGAAGGGAAGGUGACACUGGAGCUGGCAGGGUGACCAGGCAGAGAGCAGCACAACACCCAUGAAUCAAUGCCAGAGUGAGCAGGUAAGAAUAGUUGGGAGGCCAGAAAAAACUCCUAAGGUGUGAAAUCUCUGGCCCUCUUUUUGCAAUUUUAUUUAGUUUUUUUUUUCUUCUUAUUAUUUUUCUUUCUUUCCCAUCCACUUAUCUCUAUGUUCCAUGAUGUAGUGUAGAUAUUAGCAACGAUGGCUCUUAAUUUUUUGAGUACACAGACAUCUUCUGAUUUAAUAAAAAAUUAGAAAGAUGGACCAUAUCCAUUCAGAACUACUUCUUAUUAGCAAAAUGAAACCUUUAGCAAGAAUCUUGGAACAGGUCCAAUAAAAUGACAGGAGCUAUGGAUUAAAGAGUAACCCUGGGCCUCUGGAGUCAGCCUCACCUAUACUUUUGACUUGGGCCAAGCUAAGUGUAAGCAGGAUAAACAGGAACAUCCAGUUCCUUGUUUUAUGAAUUUUAUUGUGAAUUACUUGGAUAGGAAGUCGUCAUGUUAGAACAAGCUCCAUGUUUCUAUCAUCCUAAAUAUUGAUCAUACCCAGUAGGGAAGACUGUAGAACUCAGCAGACAUUUUCAGCAUAAUAGAGAAAAUAGGGAUGUCACCAUGACGAUAGAUCCAAUGCGUAGCCGGCCAAGUGUUAACACUUCGUGGAGGAUAUAUUUUCCCAUGGACCAGGCAUAUUGCAUGCUUUUCUCCACAAGCUGGGUGUGUUAGACCAAAUAUUUCCAAUAAGAGGGAUGUCUGUGCUCAUUGGCUCUAAGCGUGCAAGCAUAUUGCCCUCAGACACACAGUCCACAGGUAGUUGGAGUUUCAUGUCCUUUCUUGAAUUCCCUUCUGUCCUUGUGCUAACUCAUAUGCAAUGGUCUCCUAGGUUACUGUAACUUGCUGCAUACAAGGUUUCUCAGUAACUCUAAUUCACUGGGAUUUUUCAACCUUUAGGUAAUGAAAGAUUCUCCCACGAAGGGGAAACAUUUAAAAUCCUGUCCAUCUAGCUAUUAUGUAGGCCAAUUGAUGUUUUCUUUUGAUCCAAAAUAUAUCUUUCUUUAUAUUGUUUUACUGUCAAUUUAAGAAGGAGGAAAAUAAUUUCCCAUUUAUAUUUUUAGAUAGUUUUUUAAACUAUCUUUUAGAGACCCUUUUUUAAUCCAGGCACUGUUGUAGGCAUUGAAGGUGCAGUGGUGAGCAGGAAUAGCCAUUCACUGCUUGUGGGACUUACAUUUCAGGUGGAGACUCAAGCCAUGAACUUAUUGUUCUAAGUACUACAAUUAUGUUAGUCUUCAUUGAUUUGUAAACACAAUAAUCUGUGAGAAUAUUAAUGGACACUGCUUAUUCAUAAAUUAAUUGACAGCCAUGCAGAAUGACAUUAUUUGUAAUAAUUGUUAUUUAUAAACUCAUGGUGUUAUAUGUGUAUGUAUGUCUGUGUAUGAUUAAAAAGAACUUAACUAUGUGGCAUAUGUUGUCAGUUUAUUCACAAGAGUAUGAAUGUAAGUGAGGAUUUCCUGCUGUGAUUAAAUGCGAAUAAAUUCAUUUCAGAAAGUACAGAUGAUGCAAUAUGUAUGUUUAUAUAUAUGAGAGUCUUUAAGAAUUCCAUGAGUAAUUUCAUGAGUAAUGGAAUUAGGUGAGAAACACCAUGGCCUGUAAGUAAUGAGUAAAGUGGGAUUUAGCCAGCAAGGAUGCCAAAAAAGCAAUUUUGUCUGUUUAGCUUUGAAUUUAUUAUGGGAAACCAGGAACUCAGUUUGCCUAAAGUUUUCCUUUAUAACUUCACUGGAAUAAUGGGUCCAGUCACUUGUAAGUUUUGUCAUCCCAUGGGAAAGACAUUUAUCAGAUGGUAAAGUUAUUCAGACACUAAGUGAAUUUCUUCAAAUUUUAGAGAAAAGGAAAUAACUACUAACCUACUUAAAAAAUGCCUUGACUGUUUUUAUUUUUUGAGGAGUAUCAACUGGAUUCUGAAACUAUAAACAUCCACUGUCUGAACUGGGGAGUUUAGCAAAUCUGCACAUACAGAUUUGUGUUAAAAGCUUCUUCCUUGAACUAAAAAACUGACUGGAAUCACAUUAAUUCAUGAAUUUUAACACUAAUGAUUCCUGCAUUAACUUGGCUUAUGUGCAGUAAAAAUGUGCAAAGCGUAACAUUAAAAGACAAAGAAAACUUCUGGUUUUCAUAUACAUAUGGGACAGUUGUUUAAAGAUGAAACAUUUAAGCAUCAGUGAGAUCAUUCAGUGAAAUGGCCAAGUUUGAGUUUUCUUUUGUCCCCAACUGAAGAUACAAAACUUAGCAAAGGCAAGGUCAUGCAAUCCCAUGUGCUAUGAUCAUUUAAAUGUGGACUAGAAUAGAAUAUUUGUCUGAAAUGAGUUAUAUAACAGAAAAUGUGGUUGUUAUUAUCAUCCUUCUAAAAUCUGUGCAUUUGGAGAAAGGUGAUUAUCAGAUCGAGUGCAAUAGCUCUCUACCUGUGAUCCCAAGUUGCAAAGAAAAUAGGUUGAUCAGAUUCAGUGACAUUACAGGAGAAAGAUAUGGUGGCUGCGAUAAUCAUCCUGGCCGUGCCCUUUGAAGAUCAGGAUAGGAAUGGCAGCCACAGUCAAAUGAAAGGCUGGCAAAAUUAAAAUUGAUGACCGUAUUACACAUUACACUGAAGCUCAUGCAUUAUCCUCAGUGAAAGGAACCAUGCCAUACAAAUAGGAAAGCCACAAUUCCUGCUCAUUCCUAAUUAUAUCUCUUUUUUUCCAUCUGUUUCUACUCACCACCUUAACUCAUUCUAGUAGAGAAAGAAACAGGGUUCUUAAGGAUUUAGGAAGCAACUUCAGGGCUUUUUAAAGUACAAAAUGUAGAUGAAUAUUAAAUAAAUUCUGCCAUUAUUUACAAAGGGCCACAAGGCUAGUGGAAAUAGGAGAGGGGGUCGUGAAGGUUGUUGCAAUAUAUGGAGAACACAUGGUUCUUGCUCGAAGGUGUUGAUAUGGGAUUUUUGGCUUUGAUAUACCAAACCUUGUUUGGUGCUGACAGGUUUGUAGCACAUAAGGAAUUAACUCUUUACUCAAGGUUGGAAACAAAAGCUCAAAUGAUAUCAUCUGAGGAAGGAACCAUAUUUUUUUCCAAGUCCAGAGCCAAUAAACAGCUGGAUAGACAAGGUGCUUACAAGUUGUAAUCCCCAGGGUUACACAAUGAGUAGCACCUGCUGGGCAGUGCAGGCCACUUUAGUUUGGGGUCAAGGAGAGGUAGAUGAGCUGGUGCUACGGGAAAUGAGAGACGUGACACAUUAUCAUGGAUUGAUGCUACAACAAAAUGUCUUGAGUGGCCCAUGGAAGACCAUGGUGUUCUAUGUUGUUCACUAAGAUUUUCUGCAGGACAGGAGCUCAUGUUCUUAACAUCCCUCAUCCUUUCUUCCAGAAACGUACAUACUUAUUUUAUACAUUUUAAUGAUUUUUUCUACUUCUAUUCCUAAUUAAUUUCUUGCUCCCUUCUGUGACUUUUUAGCUAUCAAACCUGUUCUCUUCAGCCUCAUUUUAUCUUCUAGCCCAUGUCAGUUGUGCAUAUUAUUGCAGAACAACCUCUUGUUUUCUGCCGGAAAUAUUUCCUCUUGCUCUUCUGUCUGGUAACUUUCUCUGAUUGGUUUCAGUUGGGAGAUGGCUGGCUUCCCUCUGGACUACCACAGCUCUUUGUCAUUUCCUGAGUUACAGUACUUACCAUGAUUGGCUGAAAUUCCCCAUUCACAGUCCUGUUUCUCUAACUAGACUAUAACACCUUUGAGGGUAGGAACCUCCUCACCAACGCCUGGUUCAGUACAUAACAUGCAAUAAGUUCUUAAUAAAUUAUAAAUAUUUACUGGCUAAAGUUUAAAUAUUCACCAAAUAAAAGAAUGAAUGAGUAUAAGAAGGAUUGAUUGUAUGAGAGCUCCAGGACUAUGCUGAUUAACCUAAUUAUCUAACCUAAUUAAUCUAAUUAUCUGAACUUUAGAGCUAGGGAUAUUCAUAAAAAAUCAGUAUCACAUUUUUCAAGUAUGUAAUCUGCUAAGAAAAGUUGAGGAAUAAAAGCAGCAAAUCAAUACUUGAGAGGAGGCAGAAGGCUAAAAUUUUUUGAUGCUCAAAUGUAUAUAAACCUGAGUCAGAAGAAAAAUUAAAAAUUAAAAGUGACCUUAGAACACUUUUAGCCAAACUUCCAGAGAGAACGUAAAUUAACUUUCCCAAGGCCUCAUGCCUGGUUAUUGGCAGAAGACCAAAAUUCAAGCCUCUUAAUUCCCAACGUUGGGCAAUGUUUUCUGUUCUCACUGCUGUGACAACCCCAUUUCCAAUGCUUGUACAUCCAGCAUAGAAUGCAGAUAAUGUGUUUCUCUUCCUUUUUGCCCUCACUGAAUAAUUUUCAGCAGCUCCUUCAAUUGCUUUUGUUGCCCUGCUGUGCUCUGCUGGGUUCACCCUUGCAGAGGACAUCUGGUCAUAUAGCAAAGAGAAUUAUCCAGUACUUUUUCCAAUAUCCCCUCAGUCAAUCAGUCAACAAGUUAUUUAUUGAGCACUUGCUGAUGUGACCAACACAGGGCUAAUAUGAUAGAGUUGUAUGCUUUUAAACUCGAUGCAUCAAUUAAAUAGCACUUUGCAUGAUUUUGACUUGGCAUACUUCAAAGGACAAUAUUUUUCAAGGCCACUGUGAACUCAGUAAUGGGAAGCUCACCCAGUAAUUUCACAUGCAAUCAUGCAUUUUGGCCUGAUCCCCAGCGUGAGCUUUAAGGCUGUCAGAUACAAAGCAUCCAGAACCACAUCUUUCUGCAGCUGUUCAAAGACCAUGUCCAUCUGGUCUUUACAGUUUCUGACUGAGACUGAACACCCAUAAAGCAAUAAAAUGAGAAGUACCUUCUUUUCAACAUGAAGCUUUGCAAUAUUUCAUUAAACUUUGGAUUAGGGGCCAGGAGUGUGGUGGGAGGAAGAAUGACCAUUGGGAGUUGGUGACAAUUUUUGCUGAUACUUUGCCAUCCAAAUAUCCUACCCUCUGUGACUUAGGCUUCAGUUGAAAUAUGAAGAGACAGAGUCAACCUUUUGGAAAAGGGGCUUUCCUGUAACUUAGUCCAUUAUGUCACACUGCCUAGUGCCCUGGGCUUGAGGACAUGCUAGCACAUGGGAGCUGGUUGGCUGGGCGAGGAGUGGAGAUGUAGGGGUGUGACCCCAUCACAAGCCUCAAGUGACUCUGGAAUCUGAAUUAUUCUUGGGGUCACCCUGGCAUUCGGCUGAAGAUGGGCUUUCGAAUUUUCAUAUGAGCAUUUUCUUCCUGUUUCAUGGACAACACAUGAGAAUGCAAUAGUUGCAGGAUAAUGUUGCCAGAUAAAAUAGAAGACACUUAGCUAAAUUUGAGUUUCAGGUAAACAACAAAUAAUUUUUUAGUCUAAGUAUGUCUAAAAUAUUGCAUGGGACAUACUUUUACCUUAGCAUCCUGUAUUUUUAUUUAAUAAAUCUGGCAUCCCCAAAUCAGAACUUCUUGCCUGUUAAUUAUACUACAGACAUGAAGAAACUUGGGGUUUUACUGCAAGACCUUCUGUGGCUUCCAUCUUGCACAGCUAUGGGAAUUAGUCAUAAUUCAUCUGACAGUAGAAGUUUAACAAGGGCAGGCUCUUGGCUAAACUUGACAGGGAAACUGCCUGGAAUAAGCUUUAGGGGCAGUAUUGCAUGCUGGUUAAGAACAUGAGUUUGGAGUCAGCUGAUGUGAGUUUGAAACCUGACUCUGUCACUGCUAAUUAUGUAACUUUGGGCAAAUUACCCAACCUUCCUGAACCUCAACUUCUUCAUCUAGGAAAUGCGGAUAAUAGUCUCUAACUUGUUGUUGUAAAGAUUAAUGGACAAAUACACAUAAAGUGUUUGGCAUAUCAUAAAUCUGUGUAAAUAUUAGUUAUUAUUGUCUAUGAGACCUAUAUAAAUUUCUGCAUAUGUUUUUAUUUAUUUAAGAAACUAACCUUAUACUGUUUAUAUGUAACAUUGAACUCAAGUCACCAAUUUUGAAUUGAUUCAUUGCAUAAAAGGGCUUAUCUUAAUUAUAUAUUCCUGAACAUUUAUUUGGUUAAUCAAGCAAUACUAUACAUAUUUUAAUUGCAUGAUCCUGUACCUAGAACUACGGGAGAUUUUACAUCAUUUAAGUUUGAUCGAAUUCUACUGUAAUGUCACACAAGAGAAAUGAGAAUGUUCUGUGCAAAAGAUCUUGGGAAAAGUAAGAAAUUUAAAUUAUCCUUUAUAUAAAUAAAGCAAUAUAAAAGACAGAGGCCUCCAUGAAAUACAGGUAAAUUUUGAAUUCAAUAAGGCUUUACUAAAAGGAGCACUUAUCUCCUGAAAUCGCCAAGAAAAUGUGUGACGAUUAUGUUAUCAAUGUGGGAUCAGAAAAAAGAAAAUGUGAGACAGUUCAUGAGCUUUUAAUGAGGAAAGUGGGCGAAAAAUCUGCUGAGCAAGAAAACUCUAGAUACUUUAGGUAAUGUCACAAGUCUGUUUCAAUAUAAUCAUGCUGCAAAAUUGAAAAGUAUAAAUAUAAUUUAGAAUUCUAUCUUUGGUCUAAAGAAGACUCAUCCUACUCAAUCUUUUAGUUUUUCAUAAGCCAGACAUAGUAAAUUUUUUCAGCUUCAACAGAAACAUAAAUGAAGAUAUAAUCCCAUUUUUCAUAUAAAUGAAAUUAUAUCCAGUUAUAGAGAAAUUGCCACUUGAAUUUAGGGAAAAAAUAAGACAUUUCGAAGGUUUUGAGAAAGAGAAUUUUUGCAAGCACCCACCUGGAAUUAAAGGCCCAGUGGCCAUUGCUGACUGUGUGGCCCUGGUGUGACACGACAGAGUUGAGGCAGUUUUUCCAGCCUUGGCCCCUUGUGAUUCUGUGGGUGAAGUAUUCCCAGGGGAACUUUGGUUCUUACACACGUCUUUCCAGCAAUGGCCUUUGCAAAGAGCCUCUUGGAACCAUGGGAGGGGCAUGUGCAAGUCCUGAGACCCUCAGGAGAAUCCCCAGUGAUGAUUCCACAGGGCUAGCUUCCUGGUGAGACUGUAACAGCUUCCAGGGAAAUAUAUUAGAGACCCUGAGAUGGUCCUUCAGCUCUUGCAGAGUGUCAUUCAAAUGCCAGCCUCAUGCUGAUCAACAAAGAGAUAGACCUGCUGGGAUUGAAAAACGAACCAUUUAAAAGGGGAUAAGGUUGAGAACAAUAUAUAUGACAACAUACACAACCUCACUGGGCGUUUGUCUAUUUACAUGGCCAGGAAGGAUUCCUGACACUCGCCUCGUUCUCAGGUCCUGUGUCUGUCCUGUGCUGUGCAGUAGGAUUGUGUGGCCCUUUGUUGUCCACUGGAAUUAGUUUGAAUUCUUUACCUAAGUGGUACCCGAUUUGUUUCAACCCAGUUCUUGAAAACAAGCCAAAACUAACAUGGGUACAUAAAGUUCCUUUGGACCUUUGAGUAAGAAAUUUGACCUACUUUCACAUGCCAGGAGAGAAAAAGAUGAAUCCCUAAUGAAUGCCACGGUUUCUUGUGAGUUGUGUUAUGUAGAAUGGGCUGAAAAAAGUUUUCGGCAAGCUGUUGAGGCUUAUAGCUAGAUAAAUGCAGCAAUCUAAUAUUCAGUUUCAUCAAGAUUCAUAGAAAACAAAGGUGGGGCCUAUCUACCAAUACACUCUGGAAACCUUAGAACAGUUUAUUGUUUGGUUUAUUUUUCCAAAGCAGUUAUACAUAAUGCUUGCUCAUGAUCCUGUACUUAAACCUGUUCUUGGUAACACAAAGAAGAUGACUGAUGCCAGGGCCAAAUGUUGAAGGCCAGAGGAUUUAGAAAGAACAAAUGCUUGCAGAGACGUCUUAGUGAAAAGCCACAUGAGAUGGCCAUCUGAACUGGUGCAUCUCUUACAGUUAAAUUUGAAUAAGAAUGUUAGGAAACUUCUAUUUUUUUCUAUUCUCUAGAAGAGAAAUUGUAUAUCUUUUUUUAUAUUGCAUUAUAGCAUGGGAUGUAUUGCAACAACCUACCCAAAAAAUCUUUUAAUGAUCAUAAAAUAUCUGAAAAUACUUUGCAUUUGCAAUAAAAUAUAUAAAAAUGCUUGUACCAUUUUAACCAAUAAAAAAAUGUAAGUGGAUCUUAAUUUACUUUGAUUUAUAAACUUACAUUGUUAGUUUGGAAUGCAACUUUGGACUUCAGUCUCUUUUUUUCCUUUAUUUACUUCUAAGCAAUUUUCUUGUUGGCCUGCUUCUCUCCCGGUUUAUGAGGCGGAGUUUCAGACCUGAGUUGACAGGUCUGCUUUGUGUGGUCCUGUAAGGUGGUGGGAACAUAGGAUCAGGUGUGUAAGGGACCGUGGCAUGAAAGAUAAUUAAGAUGAAUUGCUUUUCAACUGGGAACAGAGGCAAGUGAAAUCUCAUGUAACAGAUUUACAGUCUAAAGGGAAUUUACGGCAAUUCUAAUCGGAGUGCCGGUGGGAAUGUUUUGGUUUGUUUGGUCUUGAUAAAGUGAUCCUGAAUCAGGAAAAAGAACAUAGUGAAAAUAGAUGAGAUAUUUUUUUAAAAUGCUAAGAUUUGCAUUGUCAUAUGUUGAAAUAUUUUUAAAAGCUUUAAUAAUGAAAACUGAGACAUUGGCCCAAGAAUAGACAGAACAAUGGAAUAGAAUAGAAGGCUUAGACUCUCAUGUUUAUUGAAGGUUAGCGUAUGAUAAAUAUGAGGUGCUACACAAUGAAAAAAUGACAAUUCAUUAAUACAUGGACUGGGAUAAUUAAUUACCACUUGAAAAAUAAUAAAGUUCUAAAACCUCAUGUUAUAUAUCAAAAUAAAAUCCAA